CCGCCUCGCGGGGUCAAGAGCAGGCAAAGAAACAAAUGGCUGCAUCAGAAGCAGCUGUUUGCAGAAUGCGAGCGGUGAGGACGUCCCAAAGAGCUGACAAAUCAUCUCCGGGCUCCACUCAGAACUUUAUCGAAAGACUGCCGGCUGAGAUCCUAAUGAAGAUUCUGUCAUACCUGGAUGCCUCGGCUCUUUUCAGCAUCAACCACGUCAACAAGCUCUUCCGUUAUCUUGCCAACGAUAAUGCUCUUUGGAGCAAGAUAUACAUGACAGCGUUUGGCAGGAAUAAAAAGCAGAAACCCCAUCGCAUGGAUGAGCUGCAGCGGAAAAUGGCCACAGUGGAGAUGCAGGAGCCGUCUGCCGGCUACUGGAAGUGGGCAUAUUUCAAGGCCGUGGCCACACGUGACAUGGCCGAGUGGAAAAGACGACUUGGCUUCAUGGACCCUUACACCGGGCUGCCCAGCCAAACGGAGCAGGUCCUCAGAAACCUGCAUGUCACUUGGGAGUUGGCAGUGUGUGAGGAGUCGGGGCGUGAGGAUACACUGGAGCUCAGCUGGUCUCGGUUCUUCAAGACCUCCGUGACUGUGUGCGGGAGCAGAGAGGGAUCUUUGCCCAGCUACCGGCAGAUUUCCACCCUUCAACUCCACGGAGUCUGGAGGAUUGGCCUCAACUGCCCUGGUCUUAAGAAGAGGUCCCUCAUGGCGAAGUUAGACAUACAGAUUCAAGCUAAAGGUGGGAAAGUCAUCGGUCAUGACAGACUGGUUGAACUGAGGCUGCUGCAGCCUGGUGUCAUCAUUGGCGUCUGGAAGGGCCAGUGCUCUGUUGCCUUUGUCAUGUUCACCCUUCACUUCCACAGGCUGGUGGAAAGAAGCCUCCUAGGAUCUCCUGAUAGCCCUUAUGUGGAGCCAAUAUUCAAAGCCCCAUUUGAUGACAUAGACCCUGAAUAUGGUCUCCAUGGUUACCAGCUACACAUUGUUCUCCACAACACUGAAUACGAGUUCACAUCUGGAAGCUUUUCCCAGCUCUUUUGCAGGAAAGCUCACAUCUGCGAUGGACUGAUCCAGCUGACUGCCAUUAGCAGGACAAACCUGUCUCAGCACACACCUCUAACAGGCAACAUCACCCUGCCCUGGAGGUGUGAGGCCCUGCAGGGCACAGUGGAGAAUUGUUGCAUCAUGACUUUGACUCUUCUGGACGAAUUCAGAAAACCGUUCUGGUGGACGAGCACUCCUGUUACAAUGGAGCGGCAGAGCACAACAGCCUGCUAUGACUAUGAUGGCGAGCAGUACCGGAUCCACUAUCAGGACUCAGAUGGACAGGGCCUUCUGGAAUCAAGGGGUUGCCAAGAUGUCCCUGCAGUGAUGAACCUCUCUGGCUGCGCUGCCAAGGGAAGGGUGUAAAAACAGCCCGGAGCCAACGACGCAGAGCCGCACUGAUACUGGAGGUUUCCACAGUGGCUGUGGAAUAAGCCACCGCACAUCAGCCCUGUCAGAGACUGGAGGUCCUCACUGAACCCAAAGGCUAAUUAAGGCUCUCUGCCGUCCUGGACGCUGCCGGCAGGAUCUACUGUCUGAUGCACCCAGGACUCCGUGUGUUGGAGCAUAAUGUCCUCUGGUCUUCCAGGGAUUCGUACUCUCCCACUCUCAUCCGGAGGCCGUCUCCUGCUCCGGUGUCCUGAAGACGUCCUGUGCCUGGACCCCGUGUGCUCUCACUUCCACGUGCGGAUUAAAUGACACUUUGUUUUAUCACAGAGCAGCUGUGUUGCUCUUUAUAUACAGUAUGAACCUCCAUCUCUGCCAGCUACUUCCAUGAAUAAUUGAAUACCCACCAAAACACUUUAGAUAGACUGCAGCGAUGAGCAAACAGAAUUUAAUGGGGAGCUGAAGAUGGACUUCAAAACGCAGCCUUCACCCACUGCUCACGGCACCAAACACGAAAACUUAGUUUGACUCACGUCGCUCAUUUAUUGCCAUUAUUGUUAUUGUAGGUCAGACUCAAAGAGCAGAAGGAAUCAUGAUUCUGCUCCUGACUCGCGGUUGGUGGAGCCUGAGCCCUCUCUGCCUCCCUGACUCUCCUGAUCUGAGCAGGUCCAUCCCAGUGGACCCACCUGCACCAGAGGCGGUAGAGCCGCACUGAGCCUCUGCUGCCUUUGCUUUAGUCUGCCAUCAGCCACGCAUCUAUUACUGCUGUAGUCCACCUCACCUCCUGGUAACCAUCAUCUCUGACCUGUGCGCACACUCUUCCUCCCUCAUCGUACCAUCGUUAAACAGGUGGAACCCGCUGGCGGGUGAUUCGGUCCACGCUCUUUUCACGUGGACUGAUUUCCUCAGCGUGCGUCUUCAUUUCACUCAAUUUGUUCUUUUAGUAGAGCUUUAUGACUUCUACGGCACAAAAGCAGCGGCGGAGUGAGAUGAUGGAUGUCACACUUGAAAACGAUGGAUGUAUCAUCAAUCUAGGCUUUUCAAUUAGAGUUAGAUAUGUUUAGAAGCCGCCGUCUAUGAGUGGACUACUAAGCUUUUCCACUCGAACCUCCCCCUCCGUUUGAUUAGUGGCCGUUUGUUCGUGGACUUGAUAAUGUUUCAUAGAGAGUGGCUGCACACAGCUGAGUCUGCGAUUCAGAAGUGAGCCUGCUGACAGCCCCGGGGCCAUGAUUAUGACACAAGUUAUUGCUCUUUUCUUUUCUUUUAUUCUGCUCUUUUCCAACUGAACCAAACUCGCCAGUGUGAUAUACGAGUGCUUUAGCCCAGAAGUUCAAACUUUUUCAUCUCUGAGUAAUUAAAAGCCUAGAAGUGUAGGAGAGGCCCAGCUUUAUCUCAGGGUUCACAACGAGGCCAAGACGUAAGCACGACCUGCUGAGAUGAAGGUGUGCAACAUCUGUGCAUGACUGUUGUUGUCAAAAAUCUUUUCCAAACUUCUGCAGAUGUUUGUGGCAUGUGGUUCUGCCUCCCUGUCACAGAACCAGUGCUACAGUACCAGAACUCAAAUGCAUCACAAAUGAAGGGUCCAGUUUAAAAGUGAACCCCUUCCUGUGUUCAAUUCUAAUCUUUAGCUGUGAGCCUGAUGUACUGUAUCCAUUACAUCCCAGCCAAUUUAUUUUACAUCUAAUCCAUUAAACAUUUCUUUUGGAAAAACACUUAGAAUUUCCAUUAUUGUCACCAACUCAGAAGACGGUGACGAUGGAAAGAUGGACUUUAAAAUGCGACUGCAUUCCAACUUUUGGGUGUGAGCUAAAACUUUUCGGCUUCUUUAAGCUUUAAAUUCUGAUUUUAUGAGGGGAAGCAAACAGUCUGUUUGUGCGUCCGCCAGCUACAGGCGAGCAUUAGUCGUGUUGUGGAGCCCUACACUCACCCGCUGGAAUGAAAGCAGGGCCAGUCAUUUAGUUUUCAGCCUUCGCCAACUGAAAACGCGCCUGUCUGACUACAGCAACCUUGUGCCGCCUGCUUCGUUUAGGGCAGGCACUUUACAGCGCAGCGCGCGUUUCUGCUAAGAACACCCCCGUCAGGUGAAAAUGAAUUAAGCAGCCGUCUGAUUUCCGGCUGAUGGCUCCUGUGUAGGACAGAUGCAGAGAUGCAGGUGCUUUCAGGAGACACGUGCGGCAAUUUCACGGCCGCCGCGCGACUCUCACUGGCACGUUUAAUUAGAAACCCUUUAAGUGUGACAAACAUCGGCACGUUUGCUACCUGCGCACAAGCAGCUUUUGGCGGCCGACGGUUCAUUUCGCCCAAAUAUUCCUAUUAUUUAUCGACGCCAGGCAUUUGGCGACGCGUUCGGGUUCGAGUGGGCGCCAGCUGGGCUCUGCUGGUGUGGUGAGUGAUAAGUUCUAUUAGGAAUUCAAUUACAGGAACAUCUGAAUGAACAGCGCAGAGAUAGAAAAAGCUAUUCAUCAUUUAGAGCUACAACAACUCUGUAGGUCAUAAUAGUAAUAACCAUUCAUCUUGGAACUCGCGGAGGAUCGGUAAUGUGUGUCCAGCCCCUUUCGUCCUGUUGUCACCUCUUUAAUUUAAUAGAGCUCUCCUUAUAACAAGGAUUGUGGUUGAGUGAGUGAUUAACGUGGUAAAUACUGUUAUUAAAGUGUAAUGACACCUGCA